UGGGGAAUAUUGCACAAUGGGGGAACCCUGAUGCAGCGAUGCCGCGUGGAGGAAGAAGGUUUUCGGAUUGUAAACUCCUGUCUUAAGGGACGAUAAUGACGGUACCUUAGGAGGAAGCUCCGGCUAACUACGUGCCAGCAGCCGCGGUAAUACGUAGGGGGCAAGCGUUAUCCGGAUUUACUGGGUGUAAAGGGAGCGUAGACGGAAUGGCAAGUCUGAUGUGAAAGCCGGGGCUCAACCCCGGGACUGCAUUGGAAACUGUCAAUCUAGAGUACCGGAGGGGUAAGUGGAAUUCCUAGUGUAGCGGUGAAAUGCGUAGAUAUUAGGAGGAACACCAGUGGCGAAGGCGGCU
rnacentral:rRNA from 1 species